rnacentral:rRNA from 1 species
CCUGGUUGAUCCUGCCAGUAGUCAUAUGCUUGUCUCAAAGAUUAAGCCAUGCAUGUGUAAGUAUGAACUAUUUCAGACUGUGAAACUGCGAAUGGCUCAUUAAAUCAGUUAUAGUUUGUUUGAUGGUACGUGCUACUCGGAUAACUGUAGUAAUUCUAGAGCUAUCGUGCAACAAACCCCGACUUCGGAAGGGAUGCAUUUAUUAGAUAAAAAGGCUGGCGUGGGCUUUGCCCGCUGCUCCGAUGAUUCAUGAUAACUUCGACGGAUCGCACGGCCCUCGUGCGGUGACGAUCAUUCAAAUUUCUGCCCUAUUAACUUUCGAUGGUAGGAUGGGGCCUACCAUGGUGGUGACGGGUGACGGAGAAUUAGGGUUCGAUUAGGAGAGGGAGCACGAGAAAUGGCUACCACAUCCAAGGAAGGCAGUAGGCAACGUAAAUUACCCAAUCGACACGGGGGAGGUAGUGACAAUAAAUAACAAUACCGGGCUCUUGAGUCCGGGUAAUUGGAAUGAGUACAAUCUAAAUCCCUUAACGAGGAUCCAUUGGAGGGCAAGUCCGGUGGUGCCGCGGUAAUUCCAGCUCCAAUAGCGUAUAUUUAAGUUGUUGUAGUUAAAAAAGCUCGUAGUUGGACUUUGGGACGGGUCGGUCGGUCCGCCUCGGCGGUGCACCGAUCGUCCCCAUCCCUUCUGUCGGCGACGCGUGCCACGGCCUUAACUGGCACGGGUCGUUGCCUCCCGGCUGUUACUUUGAAGAAAUUAGAGUGCUCAAAGCAAGCCCACGCUCUGGAUACAUUAGCAUGGGAUAACAUCACGGGAUUUGGGUCCUAUUGUGUUGGCCUUGGGAUCGGAGUAAUGAUUAAGAGGGACAAAGGGGGCAUUAUUUUUCAUAGUCAGAGGUGAAAUUCUUGGAUUUAUGAAAGACGAACCACUCAAAAAGCAUUUGCCAAGAAAUAUGUUUUCAUUAAUCAAGAACGAAAGUUGGGGGCUCAAGCGAUCAGAUACCGUCCUAGUCUCAACCAUAAACGAUGCCGACCGGGGAUCGGCGGAUGUUGUUCUUAGGACUCGUGGCACCUUAUGAGAAAUCAAAGUCUUUGGAUUCGGGGAGUAUGGUCGCAAGGCUGAAAACUUAAAGGAAUUGUGAAGGGCACCACCAAGAGUGGAGCCACAUGGGCUUAAUUUGACUCAACACGGGAAACUUACCAGGUCCAGACAUAGCAAGGAUUGAUAGACUAAGAGCUCUUUCUUGAUUCUAUGGGUGGUGGUGCAUGGCGUUCUUAGUUGGUGGAGCGAUUUAUCCGGUUAAUUCCGAUAAUGAAUGAUACCUCACCGCUAACUAGCUACACGGAGGCAUCCCUCCGCGGCCAGCUUCUUAGAGGACUAUGGCGUUUAGGCCGCGGGAAGUUUGAGGCAAUAACAGGUCUGUGAUGCCCUUAGAUGUUUACGGGACGCUGCGGCUUCACUGAUGUAUUCAACGAGUCUAUAGCCUUGGCGACAGGCCGGGUAAUCUUUGAAAAAUUCAUCGUGAUGGGGAUAGAUCAUUGCAAUUGUUGGUCUUCAGCGAGGAAUUCCUAGUAAGCGCCGAAGUCAUCAGCUCGCGUUGACUACUACCCCUGCCCUUUGUACACACCGCAACCCGCCGCUCCUACCGAUUGAAUGGUCCGGUGAAGUGUUCGGAUCGAGCGACGGGGCGGUUCACCGCGCAUGACGUCCUUGAGAAGUCCACUGAACCUUAUCAUUUAGAGGAAGGAGAAGUCGUAACAAGGUUUCCAGAGGUGAACCUGCGGAAG